GUUGAUUUACAAGGAUUUACCCCAGGACUUCAUGCUCUUUUCACCGGGGAAGAUGAUACUUGGGAGGCCUGGCUGAAUGUUGAUGCUUCUGGUUUUUCUAGUGUUAUUAGUUUGGGCCGCAAUGGAAUUAAGUUAAGGCGUGGCUAUUCCCCAUCUAAUUCCCCUAAACCCACUCAGGUUUGUAUUUUGUAUUUCUUUCUUUCUCAUAGUUCUGUUAGUAUAAAUUUACCAUUGCCUUAAUAUUUCACCCCCUUCUGAUGUGAAACUUUAAUUCACUAGAAGGAUCAUAAUGGAGGCGGG
rnacentral:misc_RNA from 1 species